rnacentral:rRNA from 1 species
GACGAACGCUGGCGGCGUGCUUAACACAUGCAAGUCGAACGAUGAACUCCCAGCUUGCUGGGGGGGAUUAGUGGCGAACGGGUGAGUAACACGUGAGUAACCUGCCCUGGACUCUGGGAUAACCCCGAGAAAUCGGAGCUAAUACCGGAUAGGACCUUGCACCGCAUGGUGUGGGGUGGAAAGUUUUUUCGGUCUGGGAUGGACUCGCGGCCUCUCAGCUUGUUGGUGAGGUAAUGGCUCACCAAGGCGUCGACGGGUAGCCGGCCUGAGAGGGUGACCGGCCGCACUGGGACUGAGACACGGCCCAGACUCCUACGGGAGGCAGCAGUGGGGAAUAUUGCACAAUGGGCGCAAGCCUGAUGCAGCAACGCCGCGUGCGGGAUGACGGCCUUCGGGUUGUAAACCGCUUUUAGUAAGGAAGAAGGGGAGCUUGCUCCUUGACGGUACUUGCAGAAAAAGGACCGGCUAACUACGUGCCAGCCGCCGCAGUAAAAC